UCAAAAUUAUAAAAACAUUAUUUGAAAGUAAUGUUCGGUAACUAAUUUUACUUUUUGUUUUUUAAUUUAAAAUCAACUUUAAACAAAUUUUAAAAACAGAUAUUUUAUGAUUUUAAAAAAUUUUAAAAUCACUUUUUUCUCAUUUCAUUAUCUCUCUCUCUGGAUAGUUCCUUGCUCAGUUCUAUUCCGAAAAUUCAUCAAUGGCUUCAGCUAUUCCAGCAAAAGAAGAGAUAAAUCAAUUGGCACUACGAGUUCUCGAUCGGCGAAAAAAGCAAAGUUCUCACUUGCAUUGGCAGAAACAUUGACGGUAUAUAAUGAAACUGCAAAGCGAAAGAUAGAAAUGUAUGAGAAUUCAAUGACAUUGACAAAACAUCUCUUAUUGGAUGAGUGUAUUGAAGCUCUCAAUCAAAUUGACGGAAUUAGUGGAGAAGUAUACGCGAAGGCUAUUGAGAAGUUUGAGAGCAAGGUGUCUAGAGCAUUAUUUCUAAAGAUGCCAAAACAUUAUUAAUAAUUAAAACUUUUUAAAUAUUUUGUUUCAAGAUUGGACAAUUAUUAGUUCAUAUUUUAUUAUGAUUUUGUCAGUUUUGUGUUAUAGAUAAUGAAUUUUGUGAUUUCAAA